UGUUUAUCAAAAACAUGUCCUUUAGAAUUAAAUUUAAGGUCUAACCUGCCCACUGAAAUUUUUUAAAUGGCCGCAGUAUUCUAACUGUGCAAAGGUAGCAUAAUCAUUAGUCUUUUAAUUGGAGGCUGGUAUGAAUGGUUGAACGAAAUAUUAACUGUUUCAUAAAAAUUUAUAAUAGAAUUUUAUUUUUUAGUCAAAAAGCUAAAAUAUAAUUAAAAGACGAGAAGACCCUAUAAAUCUUUAUAAUUUUAUUUAAUUUAAUUAUAAUGAAAAGUUUAAUUAUAAUAUAUAAAAUUAUUUUAUUGGGGUGAUAUUAAAAUUUAAAUAACUUUUAAUUUAUUAUUUACAUUUAUUUAUGAAUUAUUGAUCCAUUAUUUAUGAUUAAAAAUUUAAGUUACUUUAGGGAUAACAGCGUAAUUUUUUUAGAGAGUUCAUAUUGAUAAAAAAGAUUGCGACCUCGAUGUUGGAUUAAGAUAUAAUUUUGGGUGCAGUAGCUCAAAUUUUAAGUCUGUUC
rnacentral:rRNA from 1 species